rnacentral:lncRNA from 1 species
AGUGCUGACUCGCACGCUAGAUGUGAUUUGACCAGGACAUAUUUUUUAUUAAAUUGAGCACAUGCCUCUAGGGAUUUCCAUGUACCUCACAUUUUGCAAUGAUUCCUGGUAGUGGUGGGUGGUAAUGAACUAAUUGGAGAUACUGGUUUAUCUGAAUGAUCUCAUUGCUUUCGGAAAGUCACAAAGAAUCUGAGGAGAUGCUAUGGAAGAUGUACAAUCAGUCGGAAACUAUUGUCUUACAGCUGAAGUUGUUUAACUAGAGUUAGUUUUGAUCUAUAUGCUACUAACUGGUACAAUUCGUUAGCAGGAUUGCUCAUUACCGGACAAAUCAGAGUACAGUUGCAUUUUGGAGGUGUUGCUUGUAAACAGCUAAAUUUUCGGGCAUGCCAUUGAAGCUCUGGCCAUAUAAGGCCGUUGGUCAUUCACUGCUGGAAGUAGCACUCUCAGAGGCCCUUCUCCAUGGAGUGUUUCAAAAUAAGAAAAAUCUUCACGUUGCCUUUUUCCACCUAAGUCUGGGCAACAAAGUCACAUGCAGAAGCUGAGAAUGAACGUGCAAAUCCUGCUUGAUUUGAAUGGUAUGAUGCUCUCAGGGAUCGCCUAGACAUCCCUUAGAAAAACCCUGCUGGUAGAGGCAG